UGCCGAGCAGGGCGGUCCUGCCCGGUGACUUGUUGCUGCCUGACCCGAACCUCCAAGCACGCACCCCGCCCUCUUCUGCCGCUGGCUCCGUCCAGGCCGUUACUGUUAAGCAAGCUCCAGGAAGCUGCCACAGGAGUCCUGUGUGAGGUCUGCCUGGCCUACAGAGUGAGACCUUGCCUCAGAAUAGAUGAGUGGAAAUAAAACGUGUGUGAAGAGAAGAAGGAGCGAUCCUAGUGGGGAAGCGCCGAGCAUGAGCAGAAGAGCGGUAAAGCACCCAGCAUGAGGGACUCUUCAAAUUUCGGGUAUGGCUUUAAUGGAGACGUUCAGGUAUACCUCUGGUGGGCUUGUCCGGGUUUCACUAAGGCUUUUUUGCUGUCUGGGAGGGUUCUAUCUUGUCCAGCCUGUUGUGCAAAGGAAAUCUUUGUGUUUGGGGACAACCUCAAGGCUGGAAAUGUCCCGCUCUUUUAGUAGUGAUGGGCAGAGUCACGAGGGGUAUUUUAGCUACUACUGUGACUGCUAAUGUUUUUUAAGCAAGGUCUGACCCUCUAGCUCAGUACCCCAGACUGGCCUUGAACUUGUGAUUGUCCCACCUCAAUCUCCUUAAUGCAGAGCUGGCAAGCACCUGCCACCAUGUUAUCAGGAAGUUUCAGUGGUUUAAAAACAGGUGUGGAAAACAAACACUGCCUAGUGGUGACACACAGUCUUAAUCCCAGCACGCAGAGGCAGGAGGAUCUCAGAGCAAGUUCUAGGACAGCCAAGGCUACACAGAGAAAUGCUGUCAAACAAACAAGCAAAACCAAGGUGGACUGAUCCUGAGGAAUGGCUCCGUAAGUCCUCUGGCCUUCAUAUACAUGCUCACAUAAACCUGUGCACCCCCAUAACCUGCCCUCCUCCCCUGUGGACAGUGAAUGUGCACACACACACACACAUGAAGUUAUGUUUGCAUUUACUGUGUGUGAACCAGGUUUGGUGCCCAUGUGGAGGUCAGAGAACAGCUUCUGGGAGUCGGUUCCUUCCAGCAUGUAUGUCCUAGAGAUUGGAUUUAGACUUUAAGGCUUGGCAGCAUGGGCCUUUAUCUGCUCAACUGUCUUGCUGACCCCUAGACACAAAUUUUUUUUUUUUGAUACUUCUUGCCAUGUAGCCUUAGCUGGCCUGGAACUCAACAUCUGCCUGCCCCUGUCUUCUUAAUACUGGGGUUAAAGGUGUGUACAGCCUCACCAGCCUCAGACCCUUAGCCAGGAGCUAAGCAGUACAUUUGGAUUUAGCUGUCUAAAGUCAAGGCCUGCAUCCUGGGAGUAGGUCUAUACUGUAUAAAAUGGACAUCAUAGAUUUUACUUCCUAGUGCUGCCACGUGGGUGUUGCUCAGGGGGCUGGGAAUGAAUGUAUUAGAGGACUAGCCCAGCUGGCUCAGGGAAGGCGGAGUCAACUGUGCCGUGGAAUAAUCCUUGCACACUGUGAAGAUGUGUUGCUCUCGUUAUUAAUAACAAGUUGAUUGGCUGAUGGUUAGGCAGGAUUUUGGGGGCAGAGAGAACACUGGUAAGAAGAAGGAUGGAGUCUUCGGAGUCACAGGAGAUUCCUUGAGACGCAGAGCGAGCAGGAUGGGAAGUGCGCAGAUGAGGUAAAUGAGCCUGGGGGCAGGCAGCACACAGAUGAAUAGAAACGGGUUAAUUUAAGUUAUCAGAGCUAGCCCAGGCCACACAGUAAAGCAUGGAAGAGCUUGCUGGACUGAGCCCUUACACGGGGCACUGGUGUCUGAUGUGGCUCAAAUGUUGGUAAAGCAUUAAAGAAUUUUGCUAUUGCCUGGUGGUGGUGAUACACAUCUAUAAUCCCAGCACUCAGGAGGCAGAGGCAGGCAGAUCUCUGUGAGUUUUAGGCCUCUCUGGUCUAGGAUAGCCAGAACUUCACAAAGAAACCCUGUCUCUAAAAACAAAACAAAUGAAAACAAAUACAAAACAAAACAGUAUUUACUAUUGCUCUUUUCAACUCCUUACCUGUCAGUCAGAGAUGUUUAAAAACAUGGCAGCUCCAUUAACCACCACUGGCAUUCCUAGGUGGAAGUCUAUGUGCAAUAAAAAGUUAUGUUCAAAUUGAUUCCAGCACUAAAGAGGCUGAAACAGGAGGAUGUCUAAUUCCAGGGCAGCCUGGGAUGCAUUGCAAGAUACUGCGUCAAAAAAAAGAAGCCAAGGAAGACACAAAACAGAUACUCGAUGUUCAAAGAUGGCAAAACAGACUAGCCCGGAAGGACUCUUGCCAGCAAGGCGGAGGAUCUGCAUCUGAUUGUUGGGACACACGUGGCGGAAGAAAAGAACUGGCUCCCUGAAGUUGUUCUCUUAUCCCCAUGCAAACUGUGACAUGUGUACCUCUCCCACGUGCACACAAAGGAAGUGUAAUUUUACACUUUUGGUUGUGAGCCUCGCCUUUAAAAGCUGAGCCAUCUUUCCAUCCCAGUAAGUAUAAUUUUUAAAAGUUGAAUAAACUUAAGUCUGUGUAACAAA